GCUUUCGUGGUAUAGUGGUCAGCAUAUUCGGCGCAUAUUCGAGAAGUCCGUGGUUUGAAUCCCAGCGAGAGCA
rnacentral:tRNA from 1 species